rnacentral:rRNA from 1 species
AUUGAACGCUGGCGGCAUGCUUUACACAUGCAAGUCGAACGGCAGCAUAGAGAGCUUGCUCUCUGAUGGCGAGUGGCGAACGGGUGAGUAAUACAUCGGAACGUGUCCGUUUGUGGGGGACAACCAUCCGAAAGGAUGGCUAAUACCGCAUAAGACCUGAGGGUGAAAGCCGGGGACCGCAAGGCCUGGCGCGAACGGAGCGGCCGAUGACUGAUUAGCUGGUUGGCGGGGUAAAGGCCCACCAAGGCGACGAUCAGUAGCUGGUCUGAGAGGACGACCAGCCACACUGGAACUGAGACACGGUCCAG